GACGAACGCUGGCGGCGUGCUUAACACAUGCAAGUCGAACGGAAAGGCCCUGCUUUUGUGGGGUGCUCGAGUGGCGAACGGGUGAGCAACACGUGAGUAACCUGCCCUUGACUUUGGGAUAACUUCAGGAAACUGGGGCUAAUACCGGCUAGGAGCUCCUGCUGCAUGGUGGGGGUUGGAAAGUUUCGGCGGUUGGGGAUGGACUCGCGGCUUAUCAGCUUGUUGGUGGGGUAGUGGCUUACCAAGGCUUUGACGGGUAGCCGGCCUGAGAGGGUGACCGGCCACAUUGGGACUGAGAUACGGCCCAGACUCCUACGGGAGGCAGCAGUGGGGAAUAUUGCACAAUGGGCGGAAGCCUGAUGCAGCAACGCCGCGUGCGGGAUGACGGCCUUCGGGUUGUAAACCGCUUUCGCCUGUGACGAAGCGUGAGUGACGGUAGUGGGUAAAGAAGCACCGGCUAACUACGUG
rnacentral:rRNA from 1 species